AUUGAACGCUGGCGGCAUGCCUUACACAUGCAAGUCGAACGGUAACAGGUCUUCGGAUGCUGACGAGUGGCGAACGGGUGAGUAAUACAUCGGAACGUGCCUAGUAGUGGGGGAUAACUACUCGAAAGAGUGGCUAAUACCGCAUGAGAUCUACGGAUGAAAGCAGGGGAUCGCAAGACCUUGUGCUACUAGAGCGGCCGAUGGCAGAUUAGGUAGUUGGUGGGAUAAAAGCUUACCAAGCCGACGAUCUGUAGCUGGUCUGAGAGGACGAUCAGCCACACUGGGACUGAGACACGGCCCAGACUCCUACGGGAGGCAGCAGUGGGGAAUCUUGGACAAUGGGCGCAAGCCUGAUCCAGCAAUGCCGCGUGCAGGAUGAAGGCCUCCGGGUUGUAAACUGCUUUUGUACGGAACGAAAAGCCCCGGGUUAAUACCCUGGGGUCAUGACGGUACCGUAAGAAUAAGCACCGGCUAACUACGUGCCAGCCGCCGCGGUAA
rnacentral:rRNA from 1 species